rnacentral:rRNA from 1 species
GACGAACGCUGGCGGCGUGCCUAAUACAUGCAAGUCGAGCGGACUUUCAAGAAGCUUGCUUUUUGAAAGUUAGCGGCGGACGGGUGAGUAACACGUGGGCAACCUGCCUGCAAGACGGGGAUAACUCCGGGAAACCGGGGCUAAUACCGGAUAAUAUCUUCCUUCGCAUGAAGGAAGGUUGAAAGGCGGCGCAAGCUGCCGCUUGCAGAUGGGCCCGCGGCGCAUUAGCUAGUUGGUGAGGUAACGGCUCACCAAGGCGACGAUGCGUAGCCGACCGGAGAGGGUGAUCGGCCACACUGGGACUGAGACACGGCCCAGACUCCUACGGGAGGCAGCAGGAGGGAAUCUUCCGCAAUGGACGAAAGUCUGACGGAGCAACGCCGCGUGAGCGAAGAAGGUCUUCGGAUCGUAAAGCUCUGUUGUCAGGGAAGAACAAGUACCGUUCGAACAGGGCGGUACCUUGACGGUACCUGACCAGAAAGCCACGGCUAACUACGUG